GGAGAGGGAGCAGAGGUCGAUAGCAGAGAGAAGGGGCUCUAGCACUUGUGCUUUGCAAAGAAGUUUCGCGGCUGUGUUGCUUCACAACCUAGCCAUAUGCAAGGUUAGGAAGCCAUAAGCCUGUCCUGCCCCUAGAAACUGCAUCUUCCUGCUCCGGAGUGUCCUAAUUGGGGCCCCUAUGAUCUCACACAUCCUGGCCUCUGCCAGUGCCGUUCCAUCGCUUUGGCCGCCUGAGCAUCUUGGAGAACUCAGCUUAGGCGUCACCUCCAGCCUUCCUCUGGGCUCUCACAGCGCCUUGUGCAUCUCUCCCUUGCUCCAAACACCGUAUCGUGUUGUUGCAGCAUGAGCUGCCCCUCGGGAAGCCUGGGACCAGCUGAACGCCAGUGCCUCUGAAGGGGACGUAGAGCCAGACAGGUGGGGUGAGGCAACUUAGGUGUGAGACCCAAGAGGAGCUCUGGGCAGUGUGUCAGAUGCAGUUCCUCAGUCAGGCGGGGUUCGCAGUCCUGAGCCCUCCCGCUUUGAGCUUACUCCGCUGGCAGCUCACAGUGUUUUCGUGGUGGCUCCUCCAAGUGAGAGUCGAUGUCCAGAUUCCUAGGUUCAUGGAGAGGAAAUCUGUACUUCCUGCUUCCUGGAAGACACUGUGAGGCCAGUCCCCUCUAGGAUCCUUGGUGGUGUAGACGAGGGUGUAGCCAGAUGGACUUGGAGUGGAUUGCCUGAGUGGAGCCCCGGGGAUUUGAGAUGCAGGAGCCAGGGAGAAGAGAGGGCCUGGCCUGCUGGAGUGCUCUGCUCCCCUGGGAACCCUCUGGCUGGAGAGGCUCCUGAGCCACAGAACCAGAGAAGAGGAGAGUAAUGCCAGAGGAUCCCUAAGCACAGUGAGUAAUGACACCAAAACUUACACCUCACAGGGCACCUGAGACUCAGGGAAGGGAAAUGACUUGCUCGAGGACAUGUGGCUAGUGAAUGGCAGAGCCGGAACUCCACUCACCUCCACUCCCCAGGCCUGGACUCACCCCACUGCCCCAUGCCGAGCUGUUUAUGGACACACAUUUAUUAGCCAAAGUGAGCAUGCUUCUUAUUAGAUUACUUUACACUUUAGGGUACCAUUUUUGUACACAAUU
rnacentral:lncRNA from 10 species